rnacentral:rRNA from 1 species
AUUGAACGCUGGCGGCAUGCUUUACACAUGCAAGUCGAACGGCAGCGCGGGCUUCGGCCUGGCGGCGAGUGGCGAACGGGUGAGUAAUACAUCGGAACGUGCCCAGUAGUGGGGGAUAGCUCGGCGAAAGCCGGAUUAAUACCGCAUACGACCUGAGGGUGAAAGCGGGGGAUCUUCGGACCUCGCGCUAUUGGAGCGGCCGAUGGCAGAUUAGCUAGUUGGCGGGGUAAAGGCCUACCAAGGCGACGAUCUGUAGCUGGUCUGAGAGGACGACCAGCCACACUGGGACUGAGACACGGCCCAGACUCCUACGGGAGGCAGCAGUGGGGAAUUUUGGACAAAGGGCGAAAGCCUGAUCCAGCAAUGCCGCGUGUGUGAUGAAGGCCUUCGGGUUGUAAAGCACUUUUGGCGGGAACGAAAAGGACUGUGCCAAUACCACGGUUCGAUGACGGUACCCGCAGAAUAAGCACCGGCUAACUACGUG